UACGGGGGGGGCGAAGCGUUGUUCGGAAUUACUGGGCGUAAAGCGCACGUAGGCGGCUCUUUAAGUCGGAGGUGAAAUCCUGGAGCUCAACUCCAGAACUGCCUUCGAUACUGUAGAGCUUGAGUUCGGGAGAGGUGAGUGGAACUGCGAGUGUAGAGGUGAAAUUCGUAGAUAUUCGCAAGAACACCAGUGGCGAAGGCGGCUCACUGGCCCGAUACUGACGCUGAGGUGCGAAAGCGUGGGGAGCAAACAGGG
rnacentral:rRNA from 1 species